rnacentral:rRNA from 1 species
AUUGAACGCUGGCGGCAUGCCUUACACAUGCAAGUCGAACGGCAGCACGGGAGCAAUCCUGGUGGCGAGUGGCGAACGGGUGAGUAAAGUAUCGGAACGUGCCCAGUCGUGGGGGAUAACGUAGCGAAAGUUACGCUAAUACCGCAUACGAUCUAUGGAUGAAAGCGGGGGAUCGCAAGACCUCGCGCGAUUGGAGCGGCCGAUAUCAGAUUAGGUAGUUGGUGGGGUAAAGGCUCACCAAGCCGACGAUCUGUAGCUGGUCUGAGAGGACGACCAGCAACACUGAGACUGAGACACGGCCCAGACUCCUACGGGAGGCGGCAGUGGGGAAUUUUGGACAAUGGGCGAAAGCCUGAUCCAGCCAUGCCGCGUGCAGGAUGAAGGCCUUCGGGUUGUAAACUGCUUUUGUACAGAACGAAAAGGUUUGGCCUAAUACGCUGAACUCAUGACGGUACCGUAAGAAUAAGCACCGGCUAACUACGUGCCAGCCGCCGCCGUAACAC